rnacentral:rRNA from 1 species
GACAGAGGAUGCAAGCGUUAUCCGGAAUGAUUGGGCGUAAAGCGUCUGUAGGUGGCUUUUCAAGUCCGCCGUCAAAUCCCAGGGCUCAACCCUGGACAGGCGGUGGAAACUGCCAAGCUGGAGUACGGUAGGGGCAGAGGGAAUUUCCGGUGGAGCGGUGAAAUGCGUAGAUAUCGGGAGGAACACCAGUGGCGAAGGCGGAGACCUGGGCCGAUACUGACGCUGAGGUGUGAAAGCGUGGGGAGCAAACAGG